GCUAAUACUUGACGGUUUUCACCCCUUGUCGAGUCCAUUCCCUCUGGGAGUGUAAUCGAUGAGGGCGGGGGAUGCUUCACGUAUCCUCUACAUAUUACCACUUUUUUUGAAUGAGGGUGGAAUAUAUGCCAAGAGAAUUGUAGAAAUCGAGAGAUUUUCACAAGUCAUCAUUAAGAAUAUCUGACCUAUCAACUGGUUGUUGGUAAGGUAGUGGCUUACCAAGGUGAUAACGGGUAACGAGGAAUAAGGGUUCGACAUCGGAGAGGGAGCUUUAGAGAUGGCUACCACUUCUAAGGAAGGCAGCAGGCGCGAAAAUUACCCAAUCUUAACAAAUGAAGGAGGUAGUGACGACAAUUAACGCUAUCCUCGUCUUUUGGCGAGGAUCGUCGGAAUGAUUUCGAUUUAAAAUAUCGAAAGAAAGCAAUUGGAGGGCAAGUCUGGUGCCAGCAGCCGCGGUAAUUCCAGCUCCAAUAGUGUAUUGUAAAGUUGUUGUGAUUAAAACGCUCGUAGUUGAAUGAAAACAAUCGGGACAUGAUUUACGAUCUCUCCUCCAUACGGUGGAUUCGUCCAUUAGGUCGAGUUGAUCAAAAAUCAAACAAUGUCCUACUAUAAGCGAGAGGGUGGAAUUAAUUCCAAACUCUUUUACUUUGAUUAAAUCAAGGUGCUUAAAGCAAAAUCUUCUGUUAACGAAUGAUGAAGCAUGGUAUAGAAUUAAAACAGAACAGAAAGAAUAACGAAUAAAUGGAGAUGGGCAACCAUUCGAAAUUUAUUUAUUUUUGUUUUGUUUAAAACAAGGUUAAGAGAAAUGAUUAGGGUGAUUUAGAUAGGAACGGGAGAGGUGGAAUUCCAUGAUCGUUUCGAGAUAAACGAGAGCGAAAGCAUUUCACUGAAUUCAUUUCAUUAAUCAAGAACGAAAGUCAGGGAAUCAAAGACGAUUAGAUACCGUCGUAGUCCUGACCAUAAACGAUGUCAACUAAGGAUUGGAUAAGAAACAUCGAAGUAUGAGCCUUUUUCUCCAACUUGUUGGAAAAAAAGUGUUUCGCUUCAUUUCUUCCCUUAUUCAGGACUUGAUGAGAAAUCAUUAAGUGAAUGGACUUCAGGGGGAGUAUGGUCACAAGGCUGAAACUUAAAGGAAUUGACGGAAGGGCACACCAGGAGUGGAGCCUGCGGCUUAAUUUGACUCAACACGGGAAAACUUACCAAGACCAAACGGUGUAAGGAAUGACAGAUUACUGGGUCUUUCAUGAUUCAUCGGGGAGU
rnacentral:rRNA from 1 species